rnacentral:rRNA from 1 species
AUUGAACGCUGGCGGCAUGUCUUACACAUGCAAGUCGAACGGCAGCACGGGGCAACCUGGUGGCGAGUGGCGAACGGGUGAGUAAUGCAUCGGAACGUACCUUUCAGUGGGGGAUAACGUAGCGAAAGUUACGCUAAUACCGCAUAUUCUGUGAGCAGGAAAGCAGGGGAUCGCAAGACCUUGCGCUGAUUGAGCGGCCGGUGUCAGAUUAGCUAGUUGGUGAGGUAGAGGCUUACCAAGGCGACGAUCUGUAGCGGGUCUGAGAGGCUGAUCCGCCACACUGGAACUGAGACACGGUCCAGACUCCUACGGGAGGCAGCAGUGGGGAAUUUUGGACAAUGGGGGCAACCCUGAUCCAGCCAUGCCGCGUGAGUGAAGAAGGCCUUCGGGUUGUAAAGCUCUUUCGGCCGGGAAGAAAUCGCACGGGCUAAUACCCUGUGUGGAUGACGGUACCGGAAUAAGAAGCACCGGCUAACUACGUGCCAGCAGCCGCGGUAAAAC